rnacentral:lncRNA from 1 species
UUAUUAAUGAUCUUAAGUUCAAUCGUACCUCACAAAUAAGACACAUAGAAGUCUCAAACCUCAUGAUUCAAUUUUAUACAAUAACAUGUCAGGUUGAUGACUUGCCAGCUGCAAAUAACGUUUCUUCUCAACUGCAAUCAAAUUCGGAUCAAUUCGAUUUGAUCCAAUCCGAUUUAAAUAUAUGUGGAUCGGAUUUGGAUUGAUCGUCAAAUCUGAUCGGACAGAAAAUUUACAAUCCAGUUGGAUUUGAUUCGGAUAGGAUUGGAUUCGAAUCAAUUUGAUCGGAUCGGAUGUGAUCGGAUUGGAUCACAUUGUGCCUUACACGUACUCGCUGUGCUUGCUGUUUGAAAAUUUGAAAAUUUAUUUUUUCAUAAUUAUGUUAAAUGUGCUAAAAAAAUUGUUUGAAAUUUACAGAAAGUUGAGUGUUGUUUAGUGAUUUAUUAUGACGGUUUGAACGAUUUACAUGAAUCUAUUGUCAAUAACAAGAACUGUGAAUUAUGUAGUUUAAGAAAAUUUAAGUGCUUAGUUUCUGGUUCAAGCAUUCAUAUGACUGUAUAUAUGUUUUGUGCAGGUGCUUUGAAGGAUCCCUUCUUGUUCUUGAGUGUAUAUAUGGUGAGCCAUUUUAUUGAUCUCGUUCAUUCCCCCCCCACCCAACCUUAAUUUUAUCAUUUUUUUUCUGUAUUGAAUUAUUUAUGAACGAAAUGAACCAAAAACCAAUCGGGAAAUAAGAUAAAUAAGAUGCCAUAUGUCUAGGAAUGCGUAGAUUGUCAGGAGAACUCACCAAAAUAUAAUGCACAUUUAGCUACAAAUUGACUAUAAUUAUCCUUCGACUUGA